GCCUGGAACUCACAGAGAUCCCCCUGUCUCUGCAUCCUGAGUGCUGGGAUUAAAGGUAUGCACCAUCACUACCCUACUACAUGUAUAUUUUUAAAGGCUUUAGGCAUUUGUUGAGCCCCCACUAUGUGCUAAGGCCAUACUGUACCCUUGAGUUCCACAUGUGGAAAAAAAAAAGGCCCUGUGGUGCCAGUGUGGAAAAGAAAAUGUGACCCAGUGACAUGUGGCCUGUGAGAUGUUUCAGCAAACAAAGUUUCUUGCUGCCAAGCCUGAGUUGAAUCCCCAGGGCCCAUAUGGUAGAAGGAGAAAACCAACUUCUACCAGUUGUCUGCUAAGCUAUACCUGUAUACUUGUGUAUACAUACAUGCAUAUAAAUAAAAGUUAUAAAGUUAUAAUGUUUUAAAAAUUAUAAAUUUUUUUUAACACACAGAAUGGAUUGGGGAGAUGGCUGAGCAAUAAAGCAAUUACAAUGCAAGCAAGAAUGUAGAAACCUAUAUUCUCAGAACCCAUGUAAAUGCUGAAUGGACAUGGUAGUGGUACUUUAAUUCCAGCCUCAAAGGAGUUCCUGGUGCAAGCUGGCUUUGUGACUACCUGUAUUGAUAAGCUAUGGGUUUGGCUAAGAGAUCAUGCCUCAAAGACGAUUCCUCUUACCAACCUCAGCCUCCCCACAAACACAUACACACAUACAUACCACACAUAAACAUAAAGAAAAAAACAGAUAACUGUCAAUUUACAAGGGCUUAUAGAGCACAAAGGGAAUGGUGAUUAGCAGAGAGGAAAUGUAUACACCCUUCAACAUGCCUACCCCAUACCAAAGUUAGAAUGUGAUUUCAGUAUAAGUACAGUGCUCAGGGAUCCUACCUACUAAUAACACAACUACAAAGCAAACCAUCUAGUCCUGGCAUACAACUGUGAGGUCACCAGAUCAUGGCCAUUCUCCAUGUACUCUCCAGGGCUCAUCUGAGCAGUACGAAUGAAGAGGGAGAAACCACAGUAUCUCCCAACCCUAUUUCCUCUUAGAAACAAAAACAAAACCCGGCUAAGUCAAAAGAUCUACUGUAGAAUAAGAAGAGGUACUAAAGGAAAAAAGAGUUAGUCAAUGAUAUGACCAAGAAGAAAGAUUUGAAAUGGCCCUGAAGCACUACAGUUAAGCCAACAAUAAUGAAUUUUAUUACUAAUCAAGCAGCUGUGUAAUUUUAAAAAGGCCACAGUCGACAAGAAGAACUGAAGAGUGAACCAAGAAGGCCUACCAACAGAUUGCCAGAGCUUAUGCCCAAACUGAGAGUUGCAUUUCAAAAAAGAGAAGUACAAGGGUGCCAUCCAGUUCUCAGGAAUCUCUGGCAGAGCUUUGAACCACAUGUGCUCAAGAAGCUGCCAGCUGUUAAUGAAAAUCCUGAAAUGUAGGCAGUCUACAUCAACCAGACUUGCCUUUGAAAAGAGGAAAAACUGAGUCGUUCGACACUCACCGGACAGGAAGCGCCUCUGGGUGAGACAGAAGCCAAACAGGAGGAGGAAGUGGAGGGACUGACCUUUUGAAAUACUUCAACCAUGACUAAGAGAGAAGCAGAAGAUCUGAUAGAAAUUGAGAUCGAUGGAACUGAGAAACCUGAGUGCACAGAAGAAAGCAUUGUGGAACAAACCUAUACCCCAGCUGAAUGUGUAAGCCAGGCCAUUGACAUCAAUGAACCAAUAGGCAAUUUAAAGAAACUACUAGAACCAAGACUGCAGUGUUCUUUGGAUGCUCAUGAAAUUUGCCUGCAAGAUAUUCAGCUGGAUCCAGACCGAAGCUUGUUUGAUCAAGGAGUGAAAAUAGAUGGGACUAUACAGCUUAGUGUACAGGUAAUUUCUUACCAAGGAAUUGAGCCAAAGUUAAACAUUCUUGAAAUUAAGACUGCGGAAACAGUCGAAGUGGUCAUUGAUCCAGACGCCCACCAUGCAGAAGCAGAAGCGCAUCUCGUUGAAGAAGCCCAAGUGAUAACUUUUGAUGGCACCAAGCAUAUUACCACCAUUUCAGAUGAGACCUCGGAGCAAGUGAUGAGAUGGGCUGCUGCACUGGAAGGCUACAGAAAAGAGCAGGAACGCCUUGGCAUCCCCUAUGAUCCUAUACAGUGGUCCACAGACCAAGUCCUGCAUUGGGUGGUUUGGGUAAUGAAGGAGUUCAGCAUGACUGAUAUAGACCUCACCACACUCAACAUUUCGGGAAGAGAAUUAUGUAGUCUCAACCAAGAAGAUUUUUUUCAGCAGGUCCCUCGGGGAGAAAUUCUCUGGAGUCAUCUGGAGCUUCUUUGAAAAUAUGUUUUGGCAAGCCAAGAACAAGAGAUGAAUGAGAUAGUUACAAUUGACCAGCCUGUGCAAAUUAUUCCAGCAUCAGUGCCUUCCGCUACACUGACUACAAUUAAAGUUAUAAACAGUAAUGCAAAGGCAGCUAAAGUACAGAGAUCCCCAAGGAUUUCAGGAGAAGAUAGAAGCUCACUGGGGAACAGAACAGGAAACAAUGGUCAGAUCCAGCUAUGGCAGUUUUUGCUAGAACUUCUUACUGACAAAUACAGCUCGAGACUGUAUUUCUUGGGUUGGUGAUGAAGGUGAAUUUAAGCUAAAUCAGCCUGAA